UACGUAGGGUGCGAGCGUUAAUCGGAAUUACUGGGCGUAAAGCGUGCGCAGGCGGUUUUGUAAGCCGGAGGUGAAAUCCCCGGGCUUAACCUGGGAAUGGCAUUCGGGACUGCAAGGCUGGAGUGCGGCAGAGGAGACUGGAAUUCCUGGUGUAGCAGUGAAAUGCGUAGAUAUCAGGAGGAACACCGAUGGCGAAGGCAGGUCUCUGGGCUGACACUGACGCUCAUGCACGAAAGCGUGGGGAGCAAACAGG
rnacentral:rRNA from 1 species